UAUGGUGUGAGAAAAGGAUAUUGGCUCAACGCUCUCAAGAAUACAGUGAAAUGGCAUAUAAUCAAGUGGUUGAAAUUCUAAAAUCCAAAGUUCAGUAGCUCCUGAAGGCUAAAACAGUGAGAAGGCACAUACGAGCAAUGGCAGAACAAUUCACUGUAUGGUUUUAGUAAUAGCUCCUAACUUUAAGCAAUCAAAAAUUUCAUUCUUAACAAAAUUCAGUAUGUUUUUAUAUACGGUUAGAAAUAUAUUUAAAAUGCAAAAUUUAGUUUAUCUGAUCCGAAUAGAUCCAGCUUCAUGUAUCUAGAGAUUAUGCACUAGCUAGCUUAAUUUCGCUAACAGAUCCAUCCCAUAUAGAAUACAUCAUUUCAAACUCAACAAAGGCAUAAUUUUGGCAGGAACAAACUUAUUAUAACAAUUUAGAACACAACUCUCGUGAAAAUAAAAGAAAACUCAGCAGGGCAGGCAGGUGAAUGCGGGCGAAAAUGCUAUGCUGACAGGGCAGGUUGAAAUUUUGCAGGUUAUCGCCAUCCAUACAUAUUCCAGACCUUAAGUAUUUAAGCAUCUCUUUUUCGAAUUGUGUGUUAAUCAAGCACCGCCAUAUAAAUUAAAACAAGCAAGCAUCUAUUUUCCAUAUAUCAAAUUAUAGCUUCGGGUUUUAGACCUCUGCAUGCAUAAGCAUAAACGAUCUUUCAUCUGGACAGACAUGUGAGGAAGUAAACAUCCACUGGAAAGUGGAAAGGGACCACUUCUUUAAAGAUUCCUGGCUCAAAUAUCUUCAUAUCUCACUACACAUGAUCAUAAUCAAUCGUGAAUCCAUAACUAAUUCGCAAUGCAUUAAACUACUUGUAUUAGUUAUACAUACCGGCGCAUAAUGUCUAUCUCAAGCAUCAAGUGGGCAUCAAAUUCAAUCCCUUUAUCAUCUUCGAUAUAUGCUCGGAAUCAACUGAUUUCACGUUACAUCAAACACCACUUCAAAAAUUCAAA